rnacentral:rRNA from 1 species
CGAAACAGCGAUGUGGAGCAAAUCCCUAAAAACGGUCUCAGUUCAGAUUGUAGGCUGCAACUCGCCUACAUGAAGUCGGAAUUGCUAGUAAUCGCGGAUCAGCAUGCCGCGGUGAAUACGUUCCCGGGCCUUGUACACACCGCCCGUCACACCAUGGAAGUUGGUAACACCCGGAGCCUGUAGCCUAACCGCAAGGAGGGCGCAGUCGAAGGUGGGAUUAAUGACUGGGGUGAAGUCGUAACAAGGUAUC